AGAUGGUUAAACUAGAGUAGGGGAUAAGUAAAUCCUUAAUAAGUAAAUGCAACUUUAUGAGGCAAUUUGAGUAAUUAAUGAUGGUUUUAUUAACAUAAAGUAAAAGCGACGUUGUCAACUAUAAUGGUUUUUUUUUUUUUUUAACCAAAAGUUAAGUGAUUCGAAUAGAUGAAACUACUCAAGGUGGUAAUUAUUGCAACAGACAAACAAUGAAGAAAUUAUAUAAUAAUGAUUUUGAAAAAUCUCAUUUCACAUUAAAAAAAAACAAUAAUGUCAACCAAAAAAAUUUGCAAAACUAAAAUAAACCAUAAUCAAAACUAGCUAUAAUACUUAAUACAUUUAAUAACCAAAUUUACAUCACUUUGACAAUUAAUAUUGCUAGGCGCUGGCGCCUUCUCAACGGCUAUCUGAAAGUGAGAGAGCCAAGCAAGCGAUGUCGACGACAAGAUUUCUCUUCACUAACGGCGUCCUUUCGCCGGCUUCCGAUACUCUUUCAAUCUCCACCUUCCUUCAAACUCACCCAGGUGCAUACACCACAACUCGAACACACAACAAUGGCGAACUUCUCCUCUUCUAUGACCGCCACCUCAAGCGCCUCUCCACUUCCCUCCAAAUUCUGCUCAUUUCAAACCCACAUCUGGUAUUCGGCCCCCAAUUUUCUACUUUCUGUGGCUUCCCGUCGUCCGUCAACUGGAACGCUUAUGUUCAUCGCCGUGUUAAUGAUGUGAUGAAGAUCGCGCUGCCGGUAGCGGAUAAGGAGAGGAGUUCUGGGGAGGAGUUGGCGAUUUCGGCGUUAAUUGGGGGGAAUUUUGAUGAGUUGAGUGGAGUGAAGGGGAUAAUUGAGGAGGGAAUGAUUGAUAGGGUUUUGGAUGUGUAUUUGCAUAUUGGAAUGUAUGUGCCACCGGUGUUUGGUGUUGAGGGAAAUGGCGCGCGGUUGGCUGUGGUUCGAUGUAGGAGAGAUUUUGCUGAGGCUAAGUACUCUGAUUGGGCAAGGCUAAGGAAGCCAUUGGAAAUGUUGAGACCUCCUUCAGUUACUGAGCUUUUGAUGUCAGACAAUGGUGACAGAAUACUUGAAGGGACAAUAACAAAUUUCUUUGUAGUUCGUUUCAAGGAACAGGAAAAAGUUGAAGCUAAGGAGACUAGCUUAAUCAAUGAUGGAGGCUUGCUGUCAUACGAAGUACAGACAGCUCCGGUAAACGACGGUGUUCUUCCAGGGGUUAUCCGACAGUUAGUAAUUGAAAUAUGCUUGAGGGAGGGCAUUGCAAUUCGAGAAGUAUCACCAUCUUGGUCAGAGCGUGAUUAUUGGGAAGAAGCAUUUGUUACAAAAAACCCUGAUUUGCGAUUCAUCAAAAUUGGGAAUCACCUACCACAUGUAUUAUGACAGAGGUUGCCGAAAUGUCUAUGUAGAUGGAUGACGCCGGCAUUCCCAUCUCCAGUGGCCGUCGCCGUGUUAUUUAUCGUUAGAUCUGCCUAGUACACUUGCUUCUCUCUUUAUUUGAUAUUCUGUUUUCUUUAACCUCUCUCUGUUUGUCUCCUUCCCUCGGGGCUACGAGCAGGUGAGGAAAAAAAAUCAUGCGUUAAUACUUUUUACUUGCCCUCUGCCGAGCUUUUUAUCUCUCCUACAGUUUUUCAAUUCUUUUUCCUGAUAUUCAGUUGUAUUUUGCAAAUCCUUAUGUCUUGAUACUUAUACUUGAUUUUGGGGCUCUUUUAUUUGAAACUUUAUAUAACAUAAAAAUAUUUUAUUAAAAAAUGUAAGGGUGCACCUCUCCUACGGGAUGCGCACGCCUACGCCUUGCGCCUCCCUUCGCCUUGCGUUUUGCGCCUCAGUGCGCCUUGCACCUCUUAAAACUAAGGUAAAUACUACCUUGAUUUCUUUUUUAUCCACACAGUCUGACUUUCUCGCUUGCCAUCACAGAGCUUUGACCAUUAAUAUCUUUAAGUAUCAAUAAGAAAAAAAAUCAUAAUAUAAUGAUGUUAUGAAAAUAUAUAUUAAGAAAAACCUAACAAGAUCUCACAAGACUGUUUUUCCUUAUAUAUAAAUCACCAAUGGUGGUCAAAAGUAGAGUAUGCAAAUGUUGCUAAAGUACAAAAUGUGUGAACUAAAAAGAAACAGAGGGAGCGUAAAGUUUUACGAAUCUUUUUCUUUGAUGGUUUUUACUAGCGUGGAUUUAGUAACAUUUUGGAUGGCAAGUAGUUGCCCAUUAGAGAGUAUUUUUAUCCUAUUAGGUUGACUCAACAAUGGAAUGAGGUUAUUAUAGUGAACCUCUAAGGUUAAAGGCCAAUUUUGAGGAUGGCUAUAAGACCAAUAUUAUUUGUAUGGGUAGGAGUGUUGGGCUUUUAGGAAGGAUCAUAUUAGGGAAGUUAGGGUAGCAGAAAUGCUUAUAUUGAGAUGGAUGUGUGACAGUACAUCAAGGGCUAGAAUUCAGAAUGAAGAUACAAGAAGCUUGGAGUCAUGGAUUUUGAGGAUAAGGUAUGGGAGAACUAAUUAGGUUGGUUUUGGCAUGUGAGACAUUGAUAGCAGCAUCGUUAAGAUUGUGGAGAUUUUAAAAGAAGUUGAUAGAGGCCAAAUAUGACUUGAAUGGAGGGUGUGAAGAAUGAUAUGAAGAAAUACGGUUUUCUAGAGCAUUUAACACUUGAUAAAGGAGAAUGCUGGCAGAGGAUGUUUGUGGACGACAACUGGAGAUGAUUUAUUGGUUCAAGCCUUUGACCCUGUCCUAUUGGGAUUAGGCUUUGACAUUGUUGCUGUAUGUUCUUUAAAGAAUAACCAAAUCGGACCUUAUUACUCUUUAACUCUCCGUUUACCUUGCUGUACCCACUUUUAGAAACUGUUACUAUUCCUAAUAUGGAUAUAGAUACUUGGGCAUAGUCUGUGAAAUAUAAUUAGAGAAUUGUGAAAGAGCUUUUGAUUUUGAUAUCUCGUAUAAGUCAAGAAACUGUUCCAAUUCCUAAUAUGGAUAUAUAUACUUGGGCAUAGUCUGAAAUAUAAUUAGAAAAAUGUGAAAGAGCUUGUAUACUUGAUUUUGAUAUCUCGUAUGAGUCCAAAGCUUCUAAAGAAUAUGAACAGCAUGCACAAGUUCAUAUAUUUUCUGAUGAGGAAAGGAUCAAAUAAUUGGAAGGAAACCAGAAAGAAACAUAUGACCUAUAGAGUACACUGGUCAAUAAGCCAAAUGAUAAUAAACCAAAAUUCAGAACUCGGUUGUUUUGGUCUAAUCUAGAGAAAUAUGUCGUCAGAUCUUUAUAUGAUUACUAAAGCAUGCAGAAAUUGUCUGGACAUAGAAUUAUAGAACUCUCUAAUCCUUUUCCAUGCUCCUUUCAACUCCUUGCGAUCUGUUUUACUGUAGAUAGUUUGAGACUCCUGCAACAUGUAGAAACAAUUCAAGCUCCUUAUUCUUGGAAUUCCAUGGGAUCAAAAUCAUGGGAAGAAGUAUCUUGGUUGGAGAAGCAUUUUGAGGGGAGUCCAGGGAUGAUUACAUCAUUAAUCCAG